CCUACGGGAGGCAGCAGUGGGGAAUAUUGGACAAUGGGCGAAAGCCUGAUCCAGCAAUGCCGCGUGAGUGAUGAAGGCCUUAGGGUUGUAAAGCUCUUUUACCCGGGAUGAUAAUGACAGUACCGGGAGAAUAAGCCCCGGCUAACUCCGUGCCAGCAGCCGCGGUAAUA
rnacentral:rRNA from 1 species